rnacentral:rRNA from 1 species
AUUGAACGCUGGCGGCAGGCUUAACACAUGCAAGUCGAACGAGUGGCGGACGGGUGAGUAAUGCUUGGGCAUCUAGCUUAUGGAGGGGGAUAACUACGGGAAACUGUAGCUAAUACCGCUUACCAUAGGAUGAGCCCUGGUGGGAUUCGGUAGUUGGUGAGGUAAAGGCUCACCAAUCCGACGAUCCCUAGCUGGUCUGAGAGGAUGACCAGCCACAAUGGGACUGAGACACGGUCCAGACUCCUACGGGAGGCAGCAGGGGGGAAUAUUGCGCAAUGGGGGAAACCUGACGCAGCCAUGCCGCGUGAAGGAAGAAGGCCUUCGGGUUGUAAAGUUCUUUCGGUAGCGAGGCGUUAACUACAGAAGAAGCACCGGCUAACUCCGUGCCAGCAGCCGCGGUAAUAC